rnacentral:rRNA from 1 species
CUGGCUCAGAACGAACGCUGGCGGCGUGCCUAACACAUGCAAGUCGAGCGCGAAUGGAGCAAUCCUAGUAGAGCGGCGCACGGGUGCGUAACACGUGGAUAAUCUGCCGAGAAGCCCGGAAUAACCUGCCGAAAGGCAAGCUAAUACCGGAUAAGCCCACAGGGACCUCGGUCCUCGAGGGAAAAGGUGGCCUCUGUAUACAAGCUAUCACUUUUCGAUGAGUCCGCGGCCCAUCAGCUAGUUGGCGGGGUAAUGGCCCACCAAGGCUACGACGGGUAGCUGGUCUGAGAGGACGAUCAGCCACACUGGAACUGAGACACGGUCCAGACUCCUACGGGAGGCAGCAGUGGGGAAUUUUGCGCAAUGGGGGAAACCCUGACGCAGCAACGCCGCGUGUGUGAUGAAGGUCUUCGGAUCGUAAAGCACUUUCGACUGGGACGAACAAGGCUGGCCACACCAGCCCCUGACUGUACCAGGAGAAGAAGCACCGGCUAACUCUGUGCCAGCAGCCGCGGUAAUACAGAGGGUGCAAGCGUUGUUCGGAAUUAUUGGGCGUAAAGCGCGUGUAGGCGGCUUAGCAAGUCGGGCGUGAAAGCCCUCGGCUCAACCGAGGAAGUGCACCCGAAACUGCUGAGCUUGAGUGCCGGAGAGGAUGGCGGAAUUCCCCAAGUAGAGGUGAAAUUCGUAGAUAUCGGGAGGAACACCGGUGGCGAAGGCGGCCAUCUGGACGGUAACUGACGCUGAGACGCGAAAGCGUGGGUAGCAAACAGGAUUAGAUACCCUGGUAGUCCACGCCGUAAACGAUGAGAACUAGAUGUCGCGGGUGUUGACCCCUGCGGUGUCGCAGCUAACGCAUUAAGUUCUCCGCCUGGGAAGUACGGUCGCAAGAUUAAAACUCAAAGGAAUUGACGGGGGG